AUGGCGGGGGGAUGCUUCGGCCUGUGCCGGCUGCUCCGGAGGAAGAGGAAGAACAGGAGAGGCCCUGGAGCUGGCCCAGCACAGGAAGCAGAGGAGGAGGUGCAGCACUUCCAGCCACUGCAGCAGGAUCCAGGCCGGGACCGCCCAGAAGAGCAGGACCGCGCCCGUGGCCGCUUGCGCAGGGCAGUUCAGAGGUUGCUGAAAUUCAUGGGUCUUCGGCGCAGAACAGCCACGACCGCACCGCCCGAGCUCCCGGCACAGCCUGACACCAGCGCAGCCGAGCUCGAGGCGGAGCCGGAUGUCAGCACUGCACCGAGGGACUGUGCAGCCAGCGGUGACAUGCCGAGCUCGAGGCGGAGCCGGAUGUCAGCACUGCACCGAGGGACUGUGCAGCCAGCGGUGACAUGGCACCAACUCAUGUCACAGCAACCUUGGACACGACACCGGUUAUUGGCAGAGACAGCGCUGAGAUGGCACAGCUCGAGGGCACAGCAACCACUGACACGGCAGCGCAGCCCGCGGUGGAGCCUGAUGGCAGCACUGCACCCAGUGACUGUGCAGCCAGCGGUGACGUGGCACCUCUGGAUUGUGCUGCCAGCGGUGACAUGGCACCGACUGAUGGCACAGCAACCUCGGACAUGGCAGCUAGUGAUUGCACAGCCACCUGUGUCAUGGCACCAACUGAUGGCACAGACACCGCUGAGAGGGCACAGCUCAAGGGCACAGCAACCAGUGACACGGCACCAGUUAAUGGCAUGGACAUCUCUGACAUGGCACCGAUGGAUGGCACAGUCACCUGUGACACCGCGCUGGCUGACACCGACACAAGCUCUGAUACGGCACCAGCUGAUGUCGGGGCCAAAGCUGAGGACACGACUGAGGGCAUUGCAAGUGCUGACUGCACAUCCACGCCGGCACUGCUCUCUGCCUUCCAGGUCCUUGACUAUCUGGACGUGAACACCUCUCCCGACAGUGUCCUGCAGAUCCUGGCAAGGCACCUGCAGAGCCAGUGCCCAGAGAGGCGGCGCCUGGCUCUGCGAGGGCUCCUGGUGCUGAGCGUGGAUCCCUCCAUGGUGAGAAGGGGGCAGGGGAUGAAGCCACACGGGCAGCCUGGGGCUGGGGAGGGCAGUGGCUUGGCCUUGGCUGGGCUUGGGGAGCUGUGGCAGCUGCUGCCAGCU
rnacentral:lncRNA from 1 species